UCCCUCGUGGCGCAAUUGGCUAGCGCGUCAGACUGUUACUUCCCCUUAAGUAAAUAAUCGCUUAAGGAGAACAAGCGGAAUCUGGAGGCUGUAAGUUCGAUCCUUACCGAGGGAG